rnacentral:rRNA from 1 species
AGGGCGGACGGGGGAUGCCUUGGCACUAGAAGCCGGUGAAGGACGUUACUAACGACGAUAUGCUUUGGGGAGCUGUAAGUAAGCUUUGAUCCAGAGAUUUCCGAAUGGGGAAACCCAGCAUGAGUUAUGUCAUGUUAUCGAUAUGUGAAUACAUAGCAUAUCAGAAGGCACACCCGGAGAACUGAAACAUCUUAGUACCCGGAGGAAGAGAAAGAAAAUUCGAUUCCCUUAGUAGCGGCGAGCGAAACGGGAAGAGCCCAAACCAACAAGCUUGCUUGUUGGGGUUGUAGGACACUCUAUACGGAGUUACAAAGGACGACAUUAGACGAAUCAUCUGGAAAGAUGAAUCAAAGAAGGUAAUAAUCCUGUAGUCGAAAAUGUUGUCUCUCUUGAGUGGAUCCUGAGUACGACGGAGCACGUGAAAUUCCGUCGGAAUCUGGGAGGACCAUCUCCUAAGGCUAAAUACUCUCUAGUGACCGAUAGUGAACCAGUACCGUGAGGGAAAGGUGAAAAGCACCCCGGAAGGGGAGUGAAAUAGAACCUGAAACCGUGUGCUUACAAGUAGUCAGAGCCCGUUAAUGGGUGAUGGCGUGCCUUUUGUAGAAUGAACCGGCGAGUUACGAUUUGAUGCAAGGUUAAGCAGUAAAUGUGGAGCCGUAGCGAAAGCGAGUCUGAAUAGGGCGUUUAGUAUUUGGUCGUAGACCCGAAACCAGGUGAUCUACCCUUGGUCAGGUUGAAGUUCAGGUAACACUGAAUGGAGGACCGAACCGACUUACGUUGAAAAGUGAGCGGAUGAACUGAGGGUAGCGGAGAAAUUCCAAUCGAACCUGGAGAUAGCUGGUUCUCUCCGAAAUAGCUUUAGGGCUAGCCUCAAGUGAUGAUUAUUGGAGGUAGAGCACUGUUUGGACGAGGGGCCCCUCUCGGGUUACCGAAUUCAGACAAACUCCGAAUGCCAAUUAAUUUAACUUGGGAGUCAGAACAUGGGUGAUAAGGUCCGUGUUCGAAAGGGAAACAGCCCAGACCACCAGCUAAGGUCCCAAAAUAUAUGUUAAGUGGAAAAGGAUGUGGCGUUGCCCAGACAACUAGGAUGUUGGCUUAGAAGCAGCCAUCAUUUAAAGAGUGCGUAAUAGCUCACUAGUCGAGUGACACUGCGCCGAAAAUGUACCGGGGCUAAACAUAUUACCGAAGCUGUGGAUUGUCCUUUGGACAAUGGUAGGAGAGCGUUCUAAGGGCGUUGAAGCAUGAUCGUAAGGACAUGUGGAGCGCUUAGAAGUGAGAAUGCCGGUGUGAGUAGCGAAAGACGGGUGAGAAUCCCGUCCACCGAUUGACUAAGGUUUCCAGAGGAAGGCUCGUCCGCUCUGGGUUAGUCGGGUCCUAAGCUGAGGCCGACAGGCGUAGGCGAUGGAUAACAGGUUGAUAUUCCUGUACCACCUAUAAUCGUUUUAAUCGAUGGGGGGACGCAGUAGGAUAGGCGAAGCGUGCGAUUGGAUUGCACGUCUAAGCAGUAAGGCUGAGUAUUAGGCAAAUCCGGUACUCGUUAAGGCUGAGCUGUGAUGGGGAGAAGACAUUGUGUCUUCGAGUCGUUGAUUUCACACUGCCGAGAAAAGCCUCUAGAUAGAAAAUAGGUGCCCGUACCGCAAACCGACACAGGUAGUCAAGAUGAGAAUUCUAAGGUGAGCGAGCGAACUCUCGUUAAGGAACUCGGCAAAAUGACCCCGUAACUUCGGGAGAAGGGGUGCUCUUUAGGGUUAACGCCCAGAAGAGCCGCAGUGAAUAGGCCCAAGCGACUGUUUAUCAAAAACACAGGUCUCUGCUAAACCGUAAGGUGAUGUAUAGGGGCUGACGCCUGCCCGGUGCUGGAAGGUUAAGAGGAGUGGUUAGCUUCUGCGAAGCUACGAAUCGAAGCCCCAGUAAACGGCGGCCGUAACUAUAACGGUCCUAAGGUAGCGAAAUUCCUUGUCGGGUAAGUUCCGACCCGCACGAAAGGCGUAACGAUUUGGGCACUGUCUCAACGAGAGACUCGGUGAAAUCAUAGUACCUGUGAAGAUGCAGGUUACCCGCGACAGGACGGAAAGACCCCGUGGAGCUUUACUGUAGCCUGAUAUUGAAAUUCGGCACAGCUUGUACAGGAUAGGUAGGAGCCUUUGAAACGUGAGCGCUAGCUUACGUGGAGGCGCUGGUGGGAUACUACCCUAGCUGUGUUGGCUUUCUAACCCGCACCACUUAUCGUGGUGGGAGACAGUGUCAGGCGGGCAGUUUGACUGGGGCGGUCGCCUCCUAAAAGGUAACGGAGGCGCUCAAAGGUUCCCUCAGAAUGGUUGGAAAUCAUUCAUAGAGUGUAAAGGCAUAAGGGAGCUUGACUGCGAGACCUACAAGUCGAGCAGGGUCGAAAGACGGACUUAGUGAUCCGGUGGUUCCGCAUGGAAGGGCCAUCGCUCAACGGAUAAAAGCUACCCCGGGGAUAACAGGCUUAUCUCCCCCAAGAGUUCACAUCGACGGGGAGGUUUGGCACCUCGAUGUCGGCUCAUCGCAUCCUGGGGCUGUAGUCGGUCCCAAGGGUUGGGCUGUUCGCCCAUUAAAGCGGUACGCGAGCUGGGUUCAGAACGUCGUGAGACAGUUCGGUCCCUAUCCGUCGUGGGCGUAGGAAAUUUGAGAGGAGCUGUCCUUAGUACGAGAGGACCGGGAUGGACAUACCUCUGGUGUACCAGUUGUCGUGCCAACGGCAUAGCUGGGUAGCUAUGUGUGGACGGGAUAAGUGCUGAAAGCAUCUAAGCAUGAAGCCCCCCUCAAGAUGAGAUUUCCCAACUUCGGUUAU